CGAACGCUGGCGGCGUGCCUCAUACGUGCAAGUCGUGCGAGAAAAUCCCGCAAGGGGUGAGUAAAGCGGCGAACGGGUGCGUAACACGUGAGCAAUCUGCCUCAGGGUGGGGGAUAAGCUCCCGAAAGGGGGUCUAAUACCGCAUAACAUCUACUGGUGGCAUCACCGGAAAAUCAAAGAUGGCCUCUAUUUAUAAGCUAUCACCUUGAGAUGAGCUCGCGCUUCAUUAGCCUGUUGGCGGGGUAAUGGCCCACCAAAGCUACGAUGAAUAGCCGGCCUGAGAGGGUGUACGGCCACACUGGGACUGAGAUACGGCCCAGACUCCUACGGGAGGCAGCAGUAGGGAAUAUUGCGCAAUGGACGAAAGUCUGACGCAGCAACGCCGCGUGUGGGAUGAAGCUCCUUGGAGUGUAAACCACUGUCGGGAGGGACGAACGAUUGCGACUCUAACAUAGUCGCAGUUUGACUGUACCUUCAAAGGAAGCUCCGGCUAACUCCGUGCCAGCAGCCGCGGUAAUACGGGGGGAGCAAGCGUUGUUCGGAAUCACUGGGCGUAAAGGGUGCGCAGGCGGGAGAUUAAGUCGGAUGUGAAAACCUCGGGCUCAACCCGAGGCCUGCAUUUGAAACUGAUCUUCUUGAGUAUCGGAGAGGAAAGUGGAACUCCUGGUGUAGCGGUGAAAUGCGUAGAUAUCUGGAGGAACACCUGUGGCGAAGGCGGCUUUCUGGCCGAAUACUGACGCUCAUGCACGAAGGCUAGGGGAGCAAACAGGAUUAGAUACCCUGGUAGUCCUAGCGGUAAACGAUGGGCACUAGGUGUCGGGGGUAUCGACCCCCUCGGUGCCGCAGCAAACGCAUUAAGUGCCCCGCCUGGGGAGUACGGCCGCAAGGC
rnacentral:rRNA from 1 species